rnacentral:rRNA from 1 species
AGUGAACGCUGGCGGCGUGCCUAACACAUGCAAGUCGAACGAGAACGGAUUAUAGCUUGCUAUAAUUGUCAGCUAAGUGGCGCACGAGUGAGUAAUGUAUAGGUAAUAUGCCUCUUACUAAGGGAUAACAAAUGGAAACGUUUGCUAAUACCUUAUACUCCUUAUUAACAGAAGUUAAUAAGGGAAAGAUUUAUUGGUAAGAGAUUAGCCUGUAUUGUAUCAGUUAGUUGGUGGGGUAAUGGCUUACCAAGACUAUGACACAUAACUGGUUUGAGAGGAUGAUCAGUCACACUGGAACUGAGACACGGUCCAGACUCCUACGGGAGGCAGCAGUGGGGAAUAUUGCACAAUGGACGAAAGUCUGAUGCAGCAACGCCGCGUGGAGGAUGACACAUUUCGGUGCGUAAACUCCUUUUAUAUGAGAAGAUAACGACGGUAUUAUAUGAAUAAGCACCGGCUAACUCCGUGCCAGCAGCCGCAGUAAAAC